AAAAAUAAGCCAAUGGAACCAAACCAGACCUUAGAUCUGAGUCAGGGAAAGAGACAGAGAGGAGAGUGGAGAAUAGGAUGAGAGCCGGACGAAAGAGAGAAAGGGGUAAAGAGAGAGGGUACAGGGGACUCACUCACGUGGGUGGACAAAUGCUAGUCUGCAAGCCCUCGGCGCCCGCCAUUGACGAGCAGAUCCAGCGUGCUGGCCGGCGCUUGCCGCUGUGCUUGAGCUCGAGGACGUGCUGGAGGUCGAGCUCGACCGGGAGCACAUCGCAGCACCGCCCCCUCGCCACCAGCCGGGAUUGGCUCACUGCGACGUGCCUCCGUGACCUUACCUGUCGUGCUAGUUACAAUUUUACCCAUACCAAAAAAACAGUCUAUACUCUAUACUACCAUUUGAUAGUAUUAUGCACGUUAAAAGAGCUCUCAAAAGAUUGCAUGUUUGUUUUAGCCGUUCCUGCAUGUUUCAGUCAGUGUCAGAGAAUGAAUAACGCAUGGUGCUUAUUACAACAACCGAUGUUGAGUGAGGUCUUUUCAAAAUGGCAUGAGAGUGAUGCAUACGAGCUCAACUUUCCCUCUUAAUGAAAAACGUGCUCCGGCAUUGAAGAAUCGAGGAGAACUAACAAGACGCAUCUGUUUAAGACUCCGCCAGAAGGAGAAUUACAAACUGAGAAAAAAACGACUACUCGUGACAUACUCACUCUGCUAGGCUUUUCGCCCCAGGCGAGGAGCACUAGGCACCUGAUUGCCUUUCGUGAAACAUGUGGCGUUGUGGUGAUGGCAGUCCACCACUCGACGGUGUUUGUACUAUGCCCCCGUUCCAUUGGGCGUAGGCCUGGCUCAGCCGUCCAUUCUGCCAUGGAAUUCCAGAUUCGCUUCGUGUAUCUACACUCUGCCAUCAGGUGAAAGGCAGACUCCGUGGCCUGUUUGCAGAGAGGGCAGGGCCCGUUGUUUGGCCAUCCUCGUCCGCGCCUUGCUUUCAUAUUACUAAUAACUCGUGACCGUAUAUAGCUACGAGGAUCAACAAUUCAGUAUUGACUUGUGCAUUCCAUUCUCAACUCGUUUCGUUUUCCAUCCACUUUCGUAGAAGAGGACAUGCUUGGAUCUAAAGGUGUAAUACAAAUACCAUGAAUUACAUCACAGAAAGGCAACCGAACA